rnacentral:rRNA from 1 species
AGAGCGAACGCUGGCGGCAGGCUUAACACAUGCAAGUCGAGCGGGCGUAGCAAUACGUCAGCGGCAGACGGGUGAGUAACGCGUGGGAACAUACCUUUUGGUUCGGAACAACACAGGGAAACUUGUGCUAAUACCGGAUAAGCCCUUACGGGGAAAGAUUUAUCGCCGAAAGAUUGGCCCGCGUCUGAUUAGCUAGUUGGUGGGGUAACGGCCCACCAAGGCGACGAUCAGUAGCUGGUCUGAGAGGAUGAUCAGCCACAUUGGGACUGAGACACGGCCCAAACUCCUACGGGAGGCAGCAGUGGGAAUAUUGGACAAUGGGCGAAAGCCUGAUCCAGCCAUGCCGCGUGAGUGAUGAAGGCCCUAGGGUUGUAAAGCUCUUUUGUGCGGGAAGAUAAUGACGGUACCGCAAGAAUAAGCCCGGCUAACUUCGUGCCAGCAGCCGC